GAUGAACGCUGGCGGCGUGCUUAACACAUGCAAGUCGAACGGGAAACCUUUUAUUGAAGCUUCGGCAGAUUUAGAUUGUUUCUAGUGGCGGACGGGUGAGUAACGCGUGGGUAACCUGCCUUAUACAGGGGGAUAACAGUCAGAAAUGACUGCUAAUACCGCAUAAGCGCACAGAGCUGCAUGGCUCAGUGUGAAAAACUCCGGUGGUAUAAGAUGGACCCGCGUUGGAUUAGCUGGUUGGUGAGGUAACGGCCCACCAAGGCGACGAUCCAUAGCCGGCCUGAGAGGGUGAACGGCCACAUUGGGACUGAGACACGGCCCAGACUCCUACGGGAGGCAGCAGUGGGGAAUAUUGCACAAUGGGGGAAACCCUGAUGCAGCGACGCCGCGUGAAGGAAGAAGUAUCUCGGUAUGUAAACUUCUAUCAGCAGGGA
rnacentral:rRNA from 1 species